GGAAAACCUCAUGUCUGGAAAUGGGGGAAGUAAAUCUCUGGGGUCGUUGUGAGGUUCCAGCGAAUCACAAAUGAGACAUUUAGAGGGAGCGGCACAGCCCGCCGUCCAUGUGAGGAAAGACGGCCAGCCCUGGAGUGGACUCAGCGACCCCAGGAGGGACCCAGCGACCACAUUUCUGCUCUCACGCUGCCCCCGGCUUCCUGACCCUGGGCCUUCAUCAGGAACCCCGCCCGGAUGAAGGCCUCUCGCGGCCCCAAGUCUGCGGCUUAUCACUGCUCUCUGGGAUUCAGAGAAAGGCCAGUCUACUGGGUCAGCCUGAGGGUCUCACUAGGACUCCCCAAAUUGAGUAAGCUUCAGGCCUCACAAAACCCAGACCCGCCCCGUCUCCCGUGUGUGCAGCGUUCCGGAAGCUUUGCCUGGAGAGGGUUCCACUGAGAGGGAUCUCAACUGGAUUUGCCUGCCCCCUGCUACAGCUCAGCCACCAAGGCGCAGAACCAGGCCAGCUCUGACACCUCUGUUUUUUCCUCUCUCUCUCUCUCCUCUCCCUACAAACAGAGGGCUUGGGUGAAAAGGAGGGAGCCAAGGCACAACCAGCCCACAGAUGUUGUCCCCAUGGCCCAUCACCUUUACCUCCCCCAUGACCCCACGGAAGUCCCUGCUCUCUGGCAUCAUCUUCCCCUAGGAAGCUUUUUGUCUGCAUAUUUAUUUAUUUGUUUAUUUUCUUAAGGUAUGCUUUUUGGUGAGGAAGGUUGGCCUUGGGCUAACAUCUGUUGCCAAUCUUCCUCCUUUUUUUUUCCCACUCCAAAGCCCCAGUACACAGCUAUAUAUCCUAGCUGUAAGUCAUUCUAGUUCUAUGUGGAAUGCCACCUCAGCAUGGCCUGAUGAGCGGUGCCAUGUCUGCGCCCAGGAUCUGAACCGGCGAAACCCUGGGCUACCAAAGCAGAGCAUGCGAAUUUAACCACUUGGCCCCGGGCUGGCCCCUGCAUGUUUAUUUAUUUGUCUUUUUCUGACACAAAAGGGGUGCUUGUAUCAUGGGGCCCUUCCUUACAGUUUAAACAGAAAGGUAUUUGUUACCGGGGACUGGCCAGCCACCCCUGCUUCUGGAUGGCCCCAAACCCGGCUCCGAUGGGUCUAGCCUCACUGUUGGCGAGGGCCGGGGUGCGGCUCAGCCUCCCCUUGAUGGGACUUCCUUGCCCCAGUGCCUUCGAGGCUGUGCCCACGCGGGCGGCAGCGCUCCAGGACCCCGCUCCGGCAGGUGCCAGCAUCAGCCGGUCAUGCAGAGCCACCCUUAACCCAGGCUCAGACGGCUCCUUCUUCUCAGACGUCAACACCAGCCCACUGGUGAUGUGGGGUGAACUCCCCCAAAAUGGUAUUUUGAAGUCCUAACCCCCAGUACAUCAGAAUGUGACCUCGUUCAGAAAUAAGGUCAUUACUGAUGUCGUUAGUUAAGAUGAGGUUAUACUGGAGCAGGGUGGCCCUACUCCAAUCUGACUGGUGUCCUUAGAAGAAGAGGAGAGAGACGCAGACACACAAGGGGCGAACAUCAUGCGACAACAGAGGCAGAGAGUGGAGCGAAGCAUCUACAAGCCGAGGAUUGCCGAGGACUGCCAACCAGCCAGACGCUGGCGGAGGCAAGGAAGACUCUCCCCCGGUCUCGGAGGGAGCAUGGCUCUGCUGACACAUGGAUUUAAGACUUCUGGCCUCCAGAGCUGCGAGACAAUACAUUUCUGCUGUUUGGAGUCACCCAAUUUGUGGUGCUUUGUUACAGCUGCCCUAGGAAACUAACACAACCGGCCACAGGGAUUCCCCGGAGGAGCUGGGCUGGAGCCUGGAAAAGCACAGGGAGCCACUCCCAGGUAUGCACCCUGGAGAAAUGAAAACACGUGUCUGCACAAAGACCUGUACUGAGCAUUCAUAGCAGCUUUAUUUGUAAUAACUAAAAAAGUGGAAACAACUCAAAUGUCCACCAACUGAUGAACGGAUAAAUAGAUGUGAUAUAUCCACACAAUGGAAUAUUAUUCAGCCAUAAAAAGGAAUGAAGUACAGAUUCGUGCUACAACGUGAAUGAAGCUGGAAAACAUUAUGCCAAGCGAAAGAAGCCCAACACAAAAGGCCCCAGAUUGUAUGACUCCGUUUGUAUGAAGUGUCCAGAAUAGGCGAAUCUGUAGAGACAGAGAGUGGACCAGUGGUUGCCUAGGGCCGGGGGAGGGGGAGUGAGGAGUGACCACUAACGGAUAUGGGGUUUCUUUCUGGGUGUUGAGAACAUUCUGGAAUUGGAUAAUGGUGAUGCUUGUA
rnacentral:lncRNA from 1 species